ACCAGUUUUACCUCACUAGCCGGUCACGGUCCAAUAGUGACCAACUGCAGCCGGUGGACAAGUCCCUGUAAGAUGUGUUCUAUCUACUACCAGCAAACUGUUCCAUACGAAGUAGAGUUUGUAGCUGAUACGUAUCUCUCACUCCAGCCUCUAGUAUAUUAGUAUAGAGUACUCUUGUGUAUAAGGUAUAAGAUGAGGGAGCUCUUUGGUUAUAAUUCUGAGGUUUCUUCUUUCUCUUGGUUUUAUGGAGAGGAGCAAAAACCAUCAUUUUUUUUGUUUUUUUACCUACGCAGAUCGAUGUUCUAUAUGUCUAUAUGAAGACCAUGGCUUUUAGCUCCAAAUUUGAAGAACUAAGGGGGAGAUUAGUAAUCUAUCAUUGAUGUGUACAGAUAGUUUAUGAGGGAGAUCGAGAUUAUGUUGACAGAAGAGAGUGAGCACAACCCGGCAUUGGUGAAAGAGAGCUUUGUCACUGUUGGGAGUGUGCCACUCUUCUUCUGUCAGCAUCAUCAUCUACACUUGAUUCCCUCUUUAAUCAUCUCGAUCACCAGCACGAUAUGAUCGAUCUUCAUCCAACACAUAAUGUGAAGUCUUCUCAAGCUCUUACGUUAUUCUUAUUUAUGCUCUAUAUAUGUAUGUCUUUAUAUACAAUGACUCAAGUUAUAUUACCUCAAUUCUCUAUCUGUUACCAAAGAAUUACAUUAUAUUAUGGAUGGAUGGAAUUUCGAACGCCUGUGGUACUAUGUGGAUGUUUGUUCAAGUGAUAGACAUGUUAAUGUGCAAAUGACAUGCAUGUUUGUACACACCUGUAUGCAUGUCAUAUGAUCUAUGAGCUUUUGUGCUCUGUGUCUCGUUCUAAAGAGAUUCAUGGUUUCCAGUGCGGGGAGGAUAUGAAUAUAUGAUUGAUCCGUGGAUGGUUUAUGAGGAAUUAUGUUGACAGAAGAGAGGGAGCACAACCCGGCAUUGGCGGAAGAGAGCUUUGUCACUGUUGGGAGUGUGCCCUUUCUUCUUCUGUCAUCAUCACUUAACAGUAACUCCCAUCACUAAUCAUGUCUGCAGCACCAUCUGAUCUUCAUCAGACCAAAUGUUAAAUCUUCUCAUGAUCUCAUGAUCUCAUCCAAUAUAGCUCCAUAAAAUAGUUGCCAAGGAAAUAGAAAGUAUGAAAAAGAGACCUGGCAAAAGACUAAGAGGAUGCCAAUUAUCAGAGUUGUGAUGCAUUCGAAGAAAAAUAAAUCAAAGAGGCAGCGGCUGUGGAAAAUUGAAGCAAGUAUACGUCAACUGUGGAGAACUGUACAGAGGAAAUUUAUCCUUUCAAGAUUAUUGAGAUUAUCAGAGUUGUGAUGCAUUCGAGGAAGGAAAAUAAAUCAAAGAGGCAGCAGCUGUGGAAAAUUGAAGCAAGUAUGUGUCAACUGUAGAGAAUUACUGUACAGAGGAAGUUUGACUUUUCAAGAUUAUUGAGCAGAAGUUGAUGAUCUGGUAUCCACACUGUCAUCAAGUAGAAAGUUACAGCUUACCAGGAAAAUGUCCUUUCUCAUGUAUGUGUCUUGAAAAAAGAGCCCACGCAGGGUUUGGUUUUGGUAUUUUUGUUGCAGACAAUUUAAGCGUAUAAGAAUUCUGUGAUUGUCAAAAAAACAAAA